rnacentral:rRNA from 1 species
GAUGAACGCUGGCGGCGUGCCUAAUACAUGCAAGUAGAACGCUGAAGGAAGGAGCUUGCUCUUUCCGGAUGAGUUGCGAACGGGUGAGUAACGCGUAGGUAACCUGCCUGGUAGCGGGGGAUAACUAUUGGAAACGAUAGCUAAUACCGCAUAACAGUAGAUAUUGCAUGAUAUCUGCUUGAAAGGUGCAAUUGCAUCACUACCAGAUGGACCUGCGUUGUAUUAGCUAGUUGGUGAGGUAACGGCUCACCAAGGCGACGAUACAUAGCCGACCUGAGAGGGUGAUCGGCCACACUGGGACUGAGACACGGCCCAGACUCCUACGGGAGGCAGCAGUAGGGAAUCUUCGGCAAUGGACGGAAGUCUGACCGAGCAACGCCGCGUGAGUGAAGAAGGUUUUCGGAUCGUAAAGCUCUGUUGUAAGAGAAGAACGAGUGUGAGAGUGGAAAGUUCACACUGUGACGGUAUCUACCAAAAGACG